UACGUAGGGCGCAAGCGUUAUCCGGAAUUAUUGGGCGUAAAGAGCUCGUAGGCGGUUUGUCGCGUCUGCCGUGAAAGUCCGGGGCUCAACUCCGGAUCUGCGGUGGGUACGGGCAGACUAGAGUGAUGUAGGGGAGACUGGAAUUCCUGGUGUAGCGGUGAAAUGCGUAGAUAUCUGGAGGAACACCGGUGGCGAAGGCGGCAUUCUGGACCGACAUUGACGCUGAGGAGCGAAAGCCAGGGGAGCAAACGGG
rnacentral:rRNA from 1 species